rnacentral:snoRNA from 1 species
CACUCUAUGAUGAAAUUUUUUCCUACAUUCGCAGUUUCCACGCUAGCUGUCGCAUGAACCUAAUAAGUCGACGUGUCGUUGAGCGUUUUAUCUUCCUUGGAUGUCUGAUUUGCUUUAUACACGCCAUACUCGCUUGUUUGCUCUUGAUCAGCUUGCUGUUCCUCGCUGACUGUUGCAGAUUA